rnacentral:rRNA from 1 species
CAUGCAAGUCGAGCGAACAGACGAGGAGCUUGCUCCUCUGACGUUAGCGGCGGACGGGUGAGUAACACGUGGAUAACCUACCUAUAAGACUGGGAUAACUUCGGGAAACCGGAGCUAAUACCGGAUAACAUGUUGAACCGCAUGGUUCAACAGUGAAAGACGGUCUUGCUGUCACUUAUAGAUGGAUCCGCGCCGCAUUAGCUAGUUGGUAAGGUAACGGCUUACCAAGGCAACGAUGCGUAGCCGACCUGAGAGGGUGAUCGGCCACACUGGAACUGAGACACGGUCCAGACUCCUACGGGAGGCAGCAGUAGGGAAUCUUCCGCAAUGGGCGAAAGCCUGACGGAGCAACGCCGCGUGAGUGAAGAAGGUCUUCGGAUCGUAAAACUCUGUUAUUAGGGAAGAACAAAUGUGUAAGUAACUAUGCACGUCUUGACGGUACCUAAUCAGAAAGCCACGGCUAACUACGUGCCAGCAGCCGCGGUAAUACGUAGGUGGCAAGCGUUAUCCGGAAUUAUUGGGCGUAAAGCGCGCGUAGGCGGUUUUUUAAGUCUGAUGUGAAAGCCCACGGCUCAACCGUGGAGGGUCAUUGGAAACUGGAAAACUUGAGUGCAGAAGAGGAAAGUGGAAUUCCAUGUGUAGCGGUGAAAUGCGCAGAGAUAUGGAGGAACACCAGUGGCGAAGGCGACUUUCUGGUCUGUAACUGACGCUGAUGUGCGAAAGCGUGGGGAUCAAACAGGAUUAGAUACCCUGGUAGUCCACGCCGUAAACGAUGAGUGCUAAGUGUUAGGGGGUUUCCGCCCCUUAGUGCUGCAGCUAACGC